rnacentral:misc_RNA from 1 species
GCAAACUUGGUCAUUUAGAGGAAGUAAAAGUCGUAACAAGGUUUCCGUAGGUGAACCUGCGGAAGGAUCAUUAACGAGUUAGGGUCUCUCAGGCCCGACCUCCCAACCCUCUGUUUACUAGACCUCUGUUGCUUCGGCGGACCCGUCUCAAGCGGACCGCCGGAGGACCGCCCACCGCGGCGUGCGUCCUCUGGCCAGUGUCCGCCGAUAGCCUCUUCAAACUCUGGAAACAAAUCAUGAUUUUAGUGUCUAAGUGAUUUUAUUCAAUUAAAAGCAAAAACUUUCAACAACGGAUCUCUUGGUUCUGGCAUCGAUGAAGAACGCAGC